UAAAAAGCUUUGACGGAGAAGAGUAGGGCCGGGUAAAGGUAUCCAGCGAGUCCGGUAGGGUGUAAGCGGACAUACUCCUCGACCUGAAAAUCACUCCCGAGCUUCCCACUGAAAGCCCUGUUCAAAACGGGGUAAGUAAGCCAGGACGGUCUUAUCAGCCGUUAGCCUUGAUGAGGGCAUUAUUGGUGCCCUGAAGAGUGUCUCCCGUUUUAUCGGGGGAAAAUUGGGUGGUACCGCGGGAAUAUAAAGUCUCGUCCCUUAA
rnacentral:ncRNA from 1 species